AAAGCGUGCGCAGGCGGUAAUGUAAGACAGAUGUGAAAUCCCCGGGCUCAACCUGGGAACUGCAUUUGUGACUGCAUUGCUGGAGUGCGGCAGAGGGGGAUGGAAUUCCGCGUGUAGCAGUGAAAUGCGUAGAUAUGCGGAGGAACACCGAUGGCGAAGGCAAUCCCCUGGGCCUGCACUGACGCUCAUGCACGAAAGCGUGGGGAGCAAACAGGAUUAGAUACCCGAGU
rnacentral:rRNA from 1 species